GAACACAUUUGGCACCUUGUUGCUGUGUCCUCACAUGGUACACAUUGGAAGAAGGACCAAAAGGAUUUACCUAGUCACCAUUCCCUUUCUUAAACACUGAUCCCCAUCUGCACCUUGGUUGGGCAGCCCUCACAGUUUCCUCACUUCCUAAUUGUCUCACCUUUUAAUGCUGUUGCACUGGAGACUAAGUUCCAAGAUGUAGCCAGCACCAUAUCUUCCUGCAUGCCACCAUGUUCCAAGCCAUGAUGAUAAUGGACUGAACCUCUGAAACUUAAAAUAAAUGGCAGGUUUUGUAUUAGAAGGAGAAGAAGGAAGAGGAGGAAGAAGAAAAGAAAAACAAACAUCAACUUGACAAAUAAAUACACCACCACUGACCUGACUCCCAGCUUGUAAUCUACUUUUGUGUGUUGUUUUACUUCAUUCCUUAAAGUUGUCUAUUAUAUUCAUUGAAAUCUUUAUGAAAUAUUUUCAGAGAUUUCAUAUUUGCCGAGACACUAUCCUCCUUCAUGUGAUACUAACUUUUAAUAAAGACAGCAUUUCUUAUUGCUCCAUCCUAUUGAGUGCUCUUGACAUUUAUUUCAAGCAUCAAUUGUUACCAAUA
rnacentral:lncRNA from 1 species